UGAAAAUGCAUCUCCCUGUUAUAGGGCAAGGAGAAGAAACAAUUCAAGAAAUUCAAAAGCAUAUAUCCCAGGAGUAACUUCUCUUAACUCAUUCUUGAAUCAAGAAAAUUUCAAAGAUUAAAGUACCUGUUGGGAUUGGACUGAACACUCACUCUGCUCUGCAGUCACAUGUGGACCCACGAUUCUUCCUUCUGCUGUACAUCCCUCCAUUGAACCCCAGAAGUCGCUCUAGAUGUGCCAUCCAGUAAGCAAAGAAAGGAAAUGGAAAGUACACAAGCAACAGAGACCUCACCCGGCUAUGGCAUUAAAGUGUAGAAACCUCUGAACACAGGCAACCCAGCAUCGUUCUUGCUGCUCACCGAUAGCUGCAGAUGCUCAGCUUGCUUCUCCCCCACCGUCAUAAGCACAGUGCCUUACAAGGCCCACAUGGCAAGAUGGCAGCCUACAGGAGUUGAUGGUACCCACAGCAAAGAGCCAGCCAAAGGAAUAAGAAGCUUUCAAUUUUGUAAUCACAAGGAAUGGAAGCCACCAGAAACCUCCUGAGCAAGAAAACAAGUCCUUCCCUAUCCCAGCCUCCAAAUGAGACCCAGCCCUACCAGACAGACACCCUGGUAGUGUCCUUGUGAGACCAAAGCAGAUGCCCAACUCUGCUUUGAACAGGUCACCUCACAGAGAACUGCGGAAAGAAAGGUUCCAAGUUACUGGUGACUUUUCACACACAAGAAGUGAAAUACCCGGAUGAAAAUUUUAAUUUUGUGCACGGCAAAGGUAGGAUUUAAGAGUUUAUCACUUGAUUCAUGGAUGAAUGUCUUAACAUCACUGUAUUUUCCCUUUACAACUUGUCUUAUACAAAUACUACAAUUUUUACUACAAAUGUAAGGAAGUCCCUUACAUUUUUUCACUUGAUAUUGGGCUACUAUUUUUAACUGAAAGUAUGCUUUCUAUGUUCUCAAGAUGUAUUCCUCCCAAAUGUUGAGUGUGUCUGCCAUAUAACCUUAUAUGAUGAAUGAAACCUUUUAACAAAGUACCUUCAGCCCUGAAUCCUGAAUGACCUUAAUCAAUUCACCUGGA